UACGGAGGGAGCUAGCGUUGUUCGGAAUUACUGGGCGUAAAGCGCACGUAGGCGGCUUUGUAAGUUAGAGGUGAAAGCCCGGGGCUCAACCCCGGAAUUGCCUUUAAGACUGCAUCGCUUGAAUCCGGGAGAGGUGAGUGGAAUUCCGAGUGUAGAGGUGAAAUUCGUAGAUAUUCGGAGGAACACCAGUGGCGAAGGCGGCUCACUGGACCGGUAUUGACGCUGAGGUGCGAAAACGUGGGGAGCGAACAGG
rnacentral:rRNA from 1 species